GGUCCUGUGGCCCAAUGGAUAAGGCGCCUGACUACGAAUCAGGAGAUUCAACGUUCGAGUCCUGCCAGGAUCG
rnacentral:tRNA from 1 species